AUUGAACGCUGGCGGCAGGCUUAACACAUGCAAGUCGAGCGGUAACAGAGAGAAGCUUGCUUCUCUGCUGACGAGCGGCGGACGGGUGAGUAAUGCCUAGGAAUCUGCCUAGUAGUGGGGGAUAACUUGCCGAAAGGUAAGCUAAUACCGCAUACGUCCUACGGGAGAAAGGAGGGGACCUUCGGGCCUUUCGCUAUUAGAUGAGCCUAGGUCGGAUUAGUUAGUUGGUGAGGUAAUGGCUCACCAAGACCGCGAUCCGUAACUGGUCUGAGGGGAUGAGUAGUCACACUGGAACUGAGACACGGGCCAGACUCCUACGGGAGGCAGCAGUGGGGAAUAUUGGACAAUGGGGGGAACCCUGAUCCAGCCAUGCCGCGUGUGUGAAGAAGGUCUUAGGAUUGUAAAGCACUUUAAGUUGGGAGGAAGAGCAGUUAACUAAUAUUUGACUGUUUUGACGUUACCGACAGAAUAAGCACCGGCUAACUUCGUGCCAGCAGCCGCAGUAA
rnacentral:rRNA from 1 species